rnacentral:lncRNA from 1 species
UCCUAUCAUAGAUCCAUUGGGGUCUUGAAAUUUUAUAAAUAUGAUAAGAAUGGAAACAGCAACCCUAGUCUCCAUCUUUAUAUCUGGUUACUUGUAAGUUUUACUGGGUACGCCUUAUAUACCGCUUUUGGGCAACCUUCUCAACAACUAAGAGAUCCAUUCGAGGAACAUGGAGACUAGUUGAAGUACUGAGCCUCCCGGUAUCGGGAGGCUCAGUACUUCAACUGAGAUAAUGAAGAAUUAUUUCACCUUUUUAGUUCUUUUUAGUUGGAACUUUAGGCGGUUCUCGAAAAACGAUAGCGAAAAAAAAUUAUCUCUAGAGNNN